CCUACGGGAGGCUGCAGUGGGGAAUAUUGGACAAUGGGGGGAACCCUGAUCCAGCGACGCCGCGUGAGUGAAGAAGUAUUUCGGUAUGUAAAGCUCUAUCAGCAGGGAAGAAAGAAAUGACGGUACCUGACUAAGAAGCCCCGGCUAACUACGUGCCAGCAGCCGCGGUAAUACGUAGGGGGCAAGCGUUAUCCGGAUUUACUGGGUGUAAAGGGAGCGUAGACGGCGAUGCAAGUCUGAAGUGAAAGGCGGGGGCCCAACCCCUGGACUGCUUUGGAAACUGUAUGGCUGGAGUGCGGGAGAGGUAAGUGGAAUUCCUAGUGUAGCGGUGAAAUGCGUAGAUAUUAGGAGGAACACCAGUGGCGAAGGCGGCUUACUGGACUGUAACUGACGUUGAGGCUCGAAAGCGUGGGGAGCAAACAGGAUUAGAUACCCCGGUAGUC
rnacentral:rRNA from 1 species